UACGUAGGGUGCAAGCGUUAAUCGGAAUUACUGGGCGUAAAGCGUGCGCAGGCGGUUUUGUAAGUCUGAUGUGAAAUCCCCGGGCUCAACCUGGGAACUGCAUUUGUGACUGCAUCGCUGGAGUGCGGCAGAGGGGGAUGGAAUUCCGCGUGUAGCAGUGAAAUGCGUAGAUAUGCGGAGGAACACCGAUGGCGAAGGCAAUCCCCUGGGCCUGCACUGACGCUCAUGCACGAAAGCGUGGGGAGCAAACAGG
rnacentral:rRNA from 1 species